rnacentral:rRNA from 1 species
UACGAAGGGGGCUAGCGUUGUUCGGAAUUACUGGGCGUAAAGCGCACGUAGGCGGACAUUUAAGUCAGGGGUGAAAUCCCAGAGCUCAACUCUGGAACUGCCUUUGAUACUGGGUGUCUUGAGUAUGGAAGAGGUGAGUGGAAUUCCGAGUGUAGAGGUGAAAUUCGUAGAUAUUCGGAGGAACACCAGUGGCGAAGGCGGCUCACUGGUCCAUUACUGACGCUGAGGCGCGAAAGCCAGGGGAGCAAACGGG